AUUACAACAGUUUCCAUUUUUUCUGCGAAACCCUAAAACGCCGACGAUGAUGUUCAUAUGAACCACCCGCUCAAUCUUGCAUACCAUCCUACUUCUUAAUUUUAUGAUGGUCAGUUGUUCCUAUUCAUUUGUUCUUAUCUUUAAUUAAGCGAUGAUUCAUGUGUUUUGGUAAGUAUCCAUCCUCAAACCCUAAAAACAUCAAGCCGCACAACACCAUCCAUAGCCUCAGCGGUUUGUUUGUUCGAUCCCCUAAUCUUUACAAUGCAUCCAUCGUUCUACCGAUUUCGUUUACAUAUUCGUGUAGAUCGUUCUUUGAUCUACGUUUUGCGUAUGGAUUUGAUGUGUUUUGAUGAAACUUUCGUCAACGAUCGUUGCGGUUAUCAGAGGUUAAGAUCUAGAUUCGCUGUUUCAGAAGGAUGAGUUAAACGCCUUAUUGUUUCGGUUAGUAUAAUCGAAAAUUAGUUGUGCGUUCGUCAGCUGAUGAUGGUGGUGUUUAGGGUUGGAGAAACGACGAUGGUGGUGAGCAGUGUGUUUCUCGGUUCAAUCAACAUGAAAUUAAAGGACGAUUCUUUAGCUGUGGAUUGGUGUGGAUUGUGACCUGUGGUUAUGGCUAGACUAUAAGGUAUUAAAAUCAUGAUAACGAUAAUGCAAGCUGGAUAUGAAACUGAUGAGCUAACAAACUAGGUAAUCUUCACAAAAUUGCUUUUUUAAUGAUUAAUGUUUUUUUGGUUUCGUCUUGAAAGUGAUCAAGUGAUAUAGAAUUACCAAAAUCAAUUGAUAUUGUAAUGGGUCUGUUUUUUUGUUCAUAUAAUAUAUGUUCUUACCAGAAAUAUAUGUUUCUUCAUAUAGCUUCUUACCGGAAUUUUGUUUCUAUAAUGACACAUAUUCUUUCUAAAAGGAAAGCUAAUUAGUUGCGAUAAAGAGGGUUUGUAUAAAAUAUUGUUUGGAUAUGCUUUCAUUGUCUGACAUUGUAGCAUUGGUUAAUCAGAUGCUAUUGUUUAAGAAAAUAUUGGACCAAAUCACUAUAAUAAAUUUAUGUAUUUAGUUUGUUUUAUCUUGCAUGUGCUAGAUUAGAUUGGUGUUGAUGUGGCUUCAAAGGUUUGUAGUUGUGAUAACAGUCUAACGUACUUUCCAGGUCUGUAAGCUCCAUUCACCGUUUUCAUGAUUCAGAUAAUAAUCGUUUUCGUAUAUUAAUAAUACUUGUGUGUUUGUUUUGUGAUCGUGUUUGUGUGGAGUAAUUUUCAUCAAUGACGAAGAUCGUUGGUACGCUCGGACCGAAAUCAAUAAAUUUAAGCAAUAAACUUUUGUAAACAAAACUUUCAAAAUUAUUUUUUAUUUAAAUAUAUCUAUUUCCAGAUCAAAGUGGCAGUGUUGAGAUGAGUCCCUUAUUAAUUUAUUCUUAAAUUAAUUGAUACAAAAGUUGAUUUACAUCUUACAUUUAGGGUUUGAAUCCUCUCAUAUUCAUUUUUACUCUUAAUGCCAACACAGUUUAUGUUGGAAGAUACUCGAUUUCCUUUUCUAGAUCUCUCACACCCACCCACUUAGGUGUUUGGCACAAUUAUGAUUUUAAUGAAGCAUUUAGUUUGACCCAUUUGGGACAAUUUUUAGUUAAUGUAUCUUUAGUUUAUCCAUUUGGCCCACUUUUUUUUGGUUAAAUGUUACUUUAAUCCUACAAAAGCAUACAAUAAUCUUAUCUACAUCUUACAGCUAUAAGGAUAGCGAUGGUAACAUUUCAGAAUUAUUUACAUCAUUGCAGUACCAUUUUUUAUUCUGUUUUGUUGACUUAAGAUUCGAGUAGAUGCAUAAAUCUGGUAAUAUAUAUAGCUUUACUUGGUGUUGUAUUUUUUUGGUCUCUAAGGCUUGUGGAUGUUUCUUGCAGUCAACAUUAACUUGGAAACAAUGGGUGCAUGGACCAGUCAAAUUGAACAAAUAAAAGUUGCUAAGGUUGGAGACUAAUCAUAAAAAAAUCAUGUUAUCAAGUUAUCAGUUAUUUACCGUUAACAUAUGUAUCAAGUAAUCAAGUUAUCAGUAAUAUAUCACUCUGUUUGUAUUUAUUUUAUUUAUAAACUUAUAAGUAAUAUAAAUCAAAAUUUCCUACCCGGGAAGUUCCCGGGUGAUAACCUAGUA